UCUGGAGAUCUGGGCGGAAAGAGGCACUUUUGGCACAUAUGUUGCAUAUGUUUAGUUGACAUUUUGAAAUCGAGAAGGACCAAUGGUAAAGUGGAGCAAGUGGAAAGUGAAGCAAUUCUUAAUGAAUAUGGGGAAAUGUGAAGAACAUUCUUUUUUAUUUAGAUUUUGUAGAGGAAUACCGU
ensembl:ncRNA F55B12.12 ncRNA